rnacentral:lncRNA from 1 species
AUGCCUCACUCCAGCCCCCUUCCCCUUCUAUCUUCCCACAGGCCACCCAAGCUCCGAUCACCUGGAUCUCCCAGUCAGCUCUCUGAGGCCUCUGGCCCAGCUGAUCUUCAGCACACAUUUGCCACCUGGUGUCUUCGCUGCCCUCAGCAUUGUAGAUUACACAAAGGCCACUCAGCAAACACCUGCGGAACCAGGACUGGAACUCCAGUCUGCCUGACCCCACAAAGCAUUCCACUGCAUCUCCAGCCCCUUGGUCUCUUGGCUAUGCCCACAGUAUCUGUAAGAUAGAGUCUGAGUUAACAAAACCAGAUACAAUGAUCCCUCAUUAUCCACAGGCUUGGUUCCAUGACCACUACAGUUACAAAAAUCUGUAAGUGUCCAAGACCCUUACCUUAAAUGGCAAAUGGGCUGGCAUUGUGCAAUAAUGGCUUAAGUCACCAUUUGGGACACUAGCAAUCCUUACAGUUGCCAGUUUGAGUCCUAAUUGCUCCACUUUCUAUCCAGUUCCCUGCUAAUUCACCUGGGAAAGCAGCAGAAGAUGGCCCAAGUCCUUGGGUCCCUGUCACCCAUGUGGGAGACCUGGAUGAAGCUCCUCGCUCCUGGUUUCAGCCUGGCUCAGCCCUGGCUGUUGCAACCAACUGGGGAGUGAACCAGUCUCUCGGUCUUUCCCUCUCUCUCCUUGUAACUCUGACUUUCAAAUAAAUAAAUAAAUCUUUUUUUAAAUGGCGUGGUA